CAUAUCUACAUAAGUGAGCAGUCUGCAUACCUGAGAGCAGCUUUCAGGGGAUGUAUGCACAAAUUCAUUCACAGAAAACUGGUAAAGUAUAGUUUUCCCUGCAUUAUCCAGCCCGACAAUGAUGACUUUAUGCUCCUGGUGA